GAUGAAGAACGCAGCAAAAUGCGAUAAGUAAUGUGAAUUGCAGAAUUCAGUGAAUCAUCGAAUCUUUGAACGCACAUUGCGCCCGCCAGUAUUCUGGCGGGCAUGCCUGUUCGAGCGUCAUUUCCACCAUCAGGCCCCCGGGCCUGUGUUGGGGACCUGCGGCUGCCCGCAGGCCCCGAAAUUCAGUGGCGGUCGCGCCGUAGCAACCGAGCGUAGUAACUAAAACGUCUCGCUCUGGCUCGCUGGGCGCGCUCCGGCCGUAAAACACCCCCCCUUUUCGCAAAGGUUGACCUCGGAUCAGGUAGGAAUACCCGCUGAACUUAAGCAUAUCAAUAAGCGGAGGA
rnacentral:misc_RNA from 1 species